AAACUAUUUUAAAAUUAAUAUAGUGAUUGUCCUAGGGAUUUUUGGUCAUUAACAUGUCUGAAAAGAAGAUUUUUUUUUACUAAGAAAGGAAAUUUGUUAUGUCUGGUUACACUGCCUGAAAACCAACAUGGAUGUCUCUUCUUAACUAGCGCAAGUUGUUGCUGACUGUAUUUCAAGAACUGUGUGUUUUAACUACCAACUUUAAUCUAUUUUGAAGAUGAGAGCUUUUAUUUACUAUCAUUAACAUGGUUUAUUUUAAUAGCUAAAUAUGAAAUAUAACUGAUUUUGGAUAAUACUUCUGGGACGUGGAAAACAUGCCUAAAAAAAAGCUCACAGAAAAUGAAAAAAAAAAAAAAAGAAGAAAAUUGAAAGAAAGGGAGAGAAGAAAGAAGUUGAGUGAAGAUCCACAAAAAAUGAGCAACAUAAAUUAAAAGAGAAGCAGGGGUACAUAAAAAACAAAGAAAAAGGUGUAGGUAAUUUAGUAAAGGACAUGUCUCAUAGAGAGCUGAGGAACAAAUGCAAAAACUGGAAAAGAAACAGCUGCAUACAGAAAGAAAAAGCAAGGUUUGCAAAAAUUUUUCAAGAUUCACCUCCAGAAAGUGAUUUAGACACUGUCUCUCACCAUUCAAGGGAAGAAAGUUUGCAGAUAGAUCAUGAAGUGCCACAAAAUAUUGAACUUUGCAGCAGCACCAGAUGUUCUGAAAAAAUACUUUUGUUAACUACACCCAAGAGAAGGAAUUUUGUGCAUGAUCAAACCACCUAUUCCAGCAUCAUCAACCAAAUUCAAAGUGCCUGAAAAAUCAAAAAUUGAUAAACUCUGUAGUGAAGUACUGCGAAGACCCUAAGUGUUAAACUAAAUUUAAAAUUUGUGAAAGUGUAAAAACCUUAUGCUAAAUUUCAAGUUUGUUUCAGAGUAUAAUUAAAACAUUUUAUAUUAAUCAAUCAAAUUGCAUUUAAUUUUGUAUUUGCUAUAUAUCUGAUCAUUCACAUGCUCAUGAAUGUCAUUAACAUGCCCAUGUGUCAUUUACAUGGUUAUGAAAGUAUACAAAAAUAAAAACAAAAACAUAUAAAAAUAUUUAAGCUUUGCUGAUACCAUGCCAUAAUUAUGUACCUCUUAAAGUAUUAAAAUUAUUUUUUUGGAAAUUUUAAAACGUAUUUGACAUUUUGAUUUUUAGGUAUACAGAAAUAUCCUAUAAUUAUAGAAUCACCCAUAUCCACAAAGCCUAAUGGAAGAACUCUUUGGUGAAGUACAUUGUGUGAAACUAUUUAAUGACAAGUCAGCUCAUAAGCUUUGUAUAAAUCCAGUGUACCACAGUCGAACUAAACACAUUGACGUGAGACACAUUUCAUCAGGGAAGCUGUUGAAAACAGGAAGGUUGAAGUAAUAUAUCUGCCAAGCAACAGCAUGACUGCGGAUGUGCUAACAAAGGCGCUGCAUAAAUCUCAUCAUGAGAACUGUGUGCGUGGACUGGGACUUGACGUCAUCAAGUAAUUUUUUUUUGUGUGUCUGCUGCUUGAUUAUGGGGAAGUGUUGUUUUUGUUAUCAAGCAGCAGUUGGCAAAACUGCAUCGGAAGCGGGAACAGUAGUGUGCUGUUAUGUUUACAUGAUGUAAAAGCGUUGUGUAGUAAAAAGAUGCAAUGUUA